CCCUGAGUAGCAAGAUGCCAAGUUCUGUCUUCCUUGACUCUGCCUGGAGCCCCAGCCUCCUCUGCUGUGUUACCCUUUGUCUUCUGGGAGCAGGUUCUGUGGAUGCUGGAGUCAUCCAGUCCCCAAGAUACCUAAUCAAAGCAAAGGGAGGAAAGUCCACUCUGCAAUGCUUUCCCAUCUCUGGACACAUCAGUGUAUCCUGGUACCAGCAGACUCCAGAUCAGGGACCCCAGCUACUCAUUGAACAUUAUGAAAAGAUGCCAAGAAAUGAAGAAAACAUCCCCAACCGAUUCACAGCUCAACAGUUCAAUGACUAUCACUCUGAGCUGAACAUGAGUGCCUUGGAGCUGGGGGACUCAGCUGUGUACCUCUGUGCCAGCAGCUUGGCACAGCCCUACAGAGUUUCUGGUUUUCUGUACCCAAAUCUUCCUGUCUCAGCUGAUAAUCUAAAAGGGAAAUGA